rnacentral:lncRNA from 1 species
CAACGCGUUCUCUCUCUUUCUCUGCAGCUAAAUUAUUUCCUUUCCCCAUAUUCCAUUCAUCAAAUCUUUCAAAUUUUUCACAUGGGCUUGCCUUUAAUUUCAAAUUAAUAAAUGAAUGCAAAUAAAAUGCUAAAUGGUUUAUUAUCCAUAUAAUCUUGAUAUGAAAAUUGAUGUAAGAUUGAGAAAUUUAUCUAAAUCUGAAAGUUCCCAUUGAAAAAAUAAAUUGCAAAAUCAAAAGUUACAGAACUAUACUUUGAUUGCAGAACACUAUUUUAUAUACUUUCUGAAAGAACAAAAAAGAAAGAAUCAUAGGAGGAGAAAAGCAACUUCUUCUAAUUACAGUUACACAAAAAAAAAAAAAAAAAAAAAAUCAAGAGAGGAGAUUAAAACCGAGAACGGUAACUUGAAUCCAGGCAGGAAAUUUCUUUCAUUUUCAAAGAAAUUGGUAAUAGAUUCUUCUAUUAAAACCGAGGAUUUGAAACAUGAAACAAUGGAGGAACUGGCCGGUAAGUCACCGAAACUAGAAAAGAUGAAGUUCGCUAGAGAGACAGAGGAACAAGAGAGAGAAAGAAAACAAUAAAGAAGAGAGAAGGGGAUGAAGGAAGAGGAAAGGAAAAACGGCGUCGGUUUCAAACGCGUGAAUACAAGCUUUUUAGUUGUUUUAGGAUUGUUCUGCGUAAUGUACAUAGUUAUCAAUUUUUACGAUUUCAGGUGCAUAAACAGUCGUUCGCAAAUUUUGGAGUACCGUAGGAUUUUUUUAUAAAAAUU